GGGGCCAUAGUUCAAUGGUAAAACAGCCGCCUCCAGAGCGGCAGUCGGGGGUUCGAGUCCCUCUGGCCCCA
rnacentral:tRNA from 1 species